ACUAUACGUUCCGGUGUCCGCCAUCUUGGUCACAUACUUCGUGAGUACCGAUUUUUGUUUAUUUUUACUCUAUUAUCUUUCUCACUCACAUUUGUAAUAUCGAAUGAACUUGAAUGCUCCAAUUUGAACUACAUACAGGAUGCAAGUAAACAUUUUACAUUUUUUUAUUGUUGAAUUGUCAAAUAAUGCAGAAUACUUGUGUACAGAAUAAACAACUAUACAAAGCACAAGAAACCACUGAUUUUGUGUUAUGAUUUCAUGCAGGUCAUCAGAUUUGCAUGCAAAUUUUAAUAGUUUAUUCAUGUAACUUUAAAUGGUAAAUUCAACAUGAAAGCAUUAUCCAGCGGUGAAAAUUUUCCACCAGAUAGUUUUGAUGUUGAUUUAAUUGCUCAUGCAAGAACAGGAUUAGCCCGAGUUCAUCAAUCAAUUGCCAAGCAAUCCAAAAAGAAACAAAAAAUAAAAAGGUGGUAACACUGCCAAAAACUGCUAAAGAUAAGGAAAAAACAAAUUCUAAUCAGAAAAAUGACGGAAAAAAGACAAUAAAGUAUAUCAGUAUUAAAGAACCUCCAAAAAGAACCGCCUUUUAUGAACAUAGUAAACAAGGAAUGAAAUACUGGUAUGAUGACCGACAAUCAAAGAGAUUUCUCAGCAAAAACGUACUCGGAAGAACAGGGACAUUACUUGGACUUGUUGAUUCACCAUACAAAUAGAUACCAGCGAUAAUAUAUGAAUGAAUCGUAUUAUUUCAAGUUUUGAAAUAUUCAACAAUGAACGUUCAGCAUCAAUUUGAUAUGUAAAGCUGUGAUACCACACAAAACUGUACCAAAGACAACGUUUAUUCACUAACCUUUUGACUAAGAUAAAUAAUAAAAUGUUUUAAUAUAUACAUUCGUUGCCUUACUGAAGAUACUGAUUUAUUUCCACCACUUCAAACUAUUCUGUUUGCGGAAUAUGUAAAAACUUUUUGCCGAAAGGCUGUAUAAGUAUAGAAUGCUCCCUGUUUAACCGUCUUUACAUUUUCUUAAUGUUCUAAUUUACAGUAUAUCAAUUGUUUCAAAAAAAUUUUUGUAUAAAUGAAUUUUAUUUCAAACAAAAUAUAUAUUAUCUUUUAACUCAUUUUUAUGUAUUACUAAACGCACAGACAAAUAUCCAAAUUGUGUAACAUCCACGUAAAUAUCGUAUAGACAAAAAAUUAUAUAAUAAAAAAACGCUUGAAUUAAAUUUUAAUAAUACAGCUUUAUUUUGUAAUACCUCUAUAUUUUAUUAAUUGUACUUUGUGUCUGGCUUUGUCUAUGUUUUUAAAAAAUAAACCAAUCUUGAUUUGUAUAACAAAUCUUAAAUAUUAUAAUUUCAUAUGGUUUAUUAUUCUUGCAUUUGUAUAGAUUUUCUUCUGUGUGCUAUCUUAUAUCUCCUCUCAUACUAUUUACAAGGUAAAGUGUGUAGGAAGACGGUUGCUGAAACACAGUCCAAUAUAUAGAAUGAACAAGAAUUCAAAUUUUUGUUAUUCAUGUUAAUUAUUUUCUUAUAAUAAACCAAUAUUCUUGCUGUAUUUUUCUGAUAUUUAGAGCUUUUUGAUGAAAAAAAAAAAAUUAAA